AGUAAGGUCAGCUAAACAAAGCUACCGGGCCCAUACCCCGGAAAUGUUGGUUUAAAUCCUUCCCGUACUA
rnacentral:tRNA from 1 species